rnacentral:rRNA from 1 species
GCGUAUAUUAAAGUUGUUGCAGUUAAAAAGCUCGUAGUUGAAUUUCGGGGUUAGUAUGUUGGUCAUGCCUUUGGUAUGCACUGGCUUUACUGAUUCCUCCUUCUUGACGAACCGUGAUGUCAUUAAUUUGGUGUUGCGGGAAAUCAGGACUGUUACUUUGAAAAAAUUAGAGUGUUUAAAGCAGGCUAACGCUUGAAUACAUUAGCAUGGAAUAAUGAAAUAGGACGUUAAUCCUAUUUUGUUGGUUUCUAGGAUCGACGUAAUGAUUAAUAGGGAUAGUUGGGGGCAUUAGUAUUCAAUUGUCAGAGGUGAAAUUCUUGGAUUUAUUGAAGACUAACUACUGCGAAAGCAUUUGCCAAGGAUGUUUUCAUUAAUCAAGAACGAAAGUUAGGGGAUCGAAGACGAUCAGAUACCGUCGUAGUCUUAACCAUAAA